rnacentral:lncRNA from 1 species
UUUCCAUCUGUAAUGAUUGUUUAAUGACUAUUUAAAAAGUGCCGCCUGAGGUCUUCUAAUCACCCAAUUUUUAUUAAGCUCUCAAGGAAAUCACACAGAUGAGGAAACUGAGGCUCCUAUGGGAGGAAUCCCAUACUAGGGCACUGUAGGGAGACACAACACCCAAGAAAUAUUGUGUCUCCAAGCAAGGAUCUUGAGGGGCAGUGACAACAGAAGAAACUUACUUAGAUUUUUAGAUGUACCUCAGUUUCAUCCCUGUGAAUAUUCCUUCCACCUAUGCAGCUUACAAUCUAGUCACACCUUCUCUGAUGUAAUUUCUGGUCCAUUCUACAGCUUUUGA